AUGGUAGGGCGUCCAGGGUGAGGGGAGGGUGGUGUGAAUCCCCAGUAAUGCAGGUCCUUUCCAGGCCAGGCCCCUAGUCCCCAGGAGUGUGGGGAUGCCUGAGGUCUACUACUGCCUUAUCCAGAGCUGCCACCCCCGGCGAUGACUCAGAGUUCCUGUGGCCCCAGCAUCAUCCCUCCAUCCCUGGCUGCGAGGCCGGAGCAGAGUUGCAGACCUGAGAGGCCUUGAAUUUGUUUGAUAUAGGACUUUGCCACCAGACAAAGUGCUUUGCCUGUGAGGUCUGGCUUGGCCUGGCCUCUGAGAAAGAACAAACACAGACCUCACUGGAAGGAACCUGGAGAACGGGAGAGGAGAGGCUGCUGCUGUCUGCCCUCCCAGCAGCAGAUAUAAAGACAAUGGGCUUCUAAGUCCCCUAGAGUCCCAGCUGUGUAAUUUAAGAUGGAUCCCCAGCUGGGUUGAAAGGAACGUCAAGACCCUUCCUUUCUUAUGACCUAUGUAUCAACUCCCUUCUACCUUUCCUCCCUCCACUUGGAGCCAGUUCUAGUUGGUGAAAUGUAGCCAGAGGUUCCUGGAAAGGCUUUCCUUCUCAAGUAAAACCUGGCUCAGAGAAAACCACUGGUCUCUUUCCUUUUCUUCCUCCUGACAUGAACAUGGGGCAGGAAGGAGCAUGGAGAAGACAAGAACAAGGCUCUCAGAAGGAACUGGUGUGGCUGGAGCCAUGACAACUGGUUGUGGAGGGGGCAAAUAUAAUUUCUGACCUAUGUAAUGAUGUAUGCACAAGAAGCCUCUCUUGAAUGUAUUAAUUCAGCAAACAGUUAUGGAGUCCUUACCAUGUGCUAGUGGGACUUUGAAGAUGAAUCCAAAUUUGGAUCCUGGCCUGGAAAGGCUCAAAGCCCAAUAUGGGAGCCUGGAUACAAAUGUGAAACUUAUCUUCUUUUAUUAACCAAUCAACCACCUCCUGCCAAAACAACAUCAGCAACAACAACAAAAAAAAACAAAAACAAAAACAAAAAGAACUCUGUGUACACAAGACCUUUGUUUCCACAGCAGACUUGGCUAAAGGUUUGGGCAUGCAUAUGCAUACCCCCAAAAUUAAAAAUGGAAAAUUGAA